rnacentral:rRNA from 1 species
AUUGAACGCUGGCGGCAUGCUUUACACAUGCAAGUCGAACGGCAACGCGGGCUUCGGCCUUGCCGCGAGGGGCGAACGGGUGAGUAAUGCAUCGAAACGUGCCCAGGAGGGGGGUAUAGCCCGGCGAAAGCCGGAUUAAUACCGCAUACGACCUGGGUGUGAAAGCGGGGGACCGAAACACCUCUCGCUAUUGGAGCGUCCGAUGUCGGAUUAGCUAGUUGGUGGGGUAAAGGCUUACCAAGGCGACGAUCCGUAGCUGGUCUGAGAGGACGACCAGCCACACUGGGACUGAGACACGGCCCAGACUCCUACGGGAGGCAGCAGUGGGGAAUUUUGGACAAUGGGGGCAAGCCUGAUCCAGCAAUGCCGCGUGCGGGAAGAAGGCCUUCGGGUUGUAAACCGCUUUUGUUCGGGAAGAAAUGCUCUGGGCUAAUACCCCGGGGGGAUGACGGUACCGGAAGAAUAAGCACCGGCUAACUACGUG